CAGGUUACUAAUUGCUAUUGUAAUGUGAAUUAUUCUAUGUCGAUUUUACCACUCGACAUCGAUAUUUAUAGUGCGACGUAAACAUUAGGACAGCAAAAUUCGCAUAAUUAAUAAUUAACCGCUGUGGAUUUUAAAAAUUCCGAAAAAAAAUUUAAGGACCUUAUGAUAUUGCCGUAAGGCGACAAGUCAAGUGGAACGUAAUCGAUUUGAGAUGCAAUUCAAAAUUCAAAUAACAUAAAAUAUUAGUAAUUAAUCCGUGCAAUCGGGUAGUUUGUGCAAUCUGUUAUAGUGAGAGGUGAAUAUCCCUAAGGAAAUUAAAAAUAUAUAUACAUAUGUAUGUGUAUAUACAUAAAUAUCUGAAAGUGAAAAAGUGGUAUGUUUUUAUAUAAUUAAGCUAUAAAAAGUGAAAAGUGUGUCAAGGCCUAAAAUUAAAAUCUGGAAAUCCGAAUCUCUUCUGCAAUCAGUGAUAGUGUCUGUGAAAAUCCAGUAGUCAGUCAAUAAAAUUUUAAAAUAUGUUUUGUGAAAAUUUGUGAUAAAUUAAAAAUCAGUGUUAAGGUGAAAUGGUUAUUUUUUAAUAUUGCAGCAUAAGUUAAAUUUUUGUCAUACAAGCAACCUCACCAAAUCAUCACGCAGCGACAUGGCAUCAUAAUCUUAAUUUAUUGAUGCUCAAUUAUCAAUGGGG